GUGAAUCAUCGAGUUGUUGAACGCAUUGCACCGCGCCCUAAUCCGGCUGCGGUAUGCCCCUUUGAGCGUCAUUUAUUCCUUCGGGAGUCUUUCCUUGCGAAAGACCCGAGUUCGGAGUCCUCGGUCUUCGGAUCGUGUUCUCUCAGAUGCGUCGCGCCGAUCGCCUGAUGGGUACUCUAAUGCCUGAGCGUGGAGUCCCUCUGGAGUCGAGACGCGCUUGACCGGCCGUUGGGCUCGUGUCACCAAGUCCGCGUCCUUUGGGACGGUGGUACUACAACGCAUGACCUCAUUGGGGUAGGACAACCCGCUAGACUUAAGCAUAUUAAUCAGCGGAGGAAAAGA
rnacentral:rRNA from 1 species